GUUCCCUGGAGUAAACAGGCAUGUGUGUGAGCUCUUCACAAGCGGAGUCUCUGUUUCUUACAGUCCUCUGCUUUCUUUACAGCCUUGGUUGUAGAAGAGUCUUCCUGCCAGUCUCCAGUUUGUUUUCAGUGAGGAUUUCUCCACAUGUACAUGUAUUUUGCACGUGUUCAUGGGGCAAGACUGGCACCAGUCCACAGGCCAUAUUUUGAGAAACACUGAGACAGAACAAAUGUUCUUGCCGUGCCUUCCUUCCUGUUUAUUUCAUACUUGAAAUGUUGGAAACCAUAAUGUCAAAGUGGAAAAUUUUGCCUGGUUAUUUACACAGAUGAUAUAAGAAGUUGACAUUUUGUGAAUUUCAUGACCUUAAAGUUGGUUCUCUGGGAGACAAUGUGAGGAGCAAUAGAAGGGCCCGUCCCAGAUUCUCAUUUGUCUCUAAGUGUUGCUCUUCUCCAAGCAGAGAAUGGUAUCUUUUUACAUGGUGCCACCUCACUGGCUUAGAAAAUGGCAGAGCAAGGACCAUUCCAGUGUACCUGUGUGCAAGUUUCUUUGGAGUGGAGUUUCCUGGGCACUGGUGUUGUGCAUGUACAACUGGAUUACAAAUGCCAGCUUAUUUUCCAAAGUGGCUUUGCCAAUUUCCACUCCCUCCAUUGAUGUCUGACAGUCUCUUUGUUCCAUGAAGUACAAACAAGGGCAACUGAACUAGCAUUGCAUACAUCAAACCUGCUGAAGGAGUUUCUACUGGGGAAAACUCACAGAGAUGGCAUGAGUAUAAGUGAGUGGGUCUCCUCUUGUCCCGAUCACUCUCUGAGGCAGCACACAACAAACUGACGUGGCCGGAAGUCAGACUCUGGGAUAGGAAAUCCCACAUCUUGGUCUGAAGGUUUUCAAGAAUCACUACUGAGGAAGCAUGAGUAUCUCUUUUUAUAUGAUCAGAGGCUCCAACACAGUAAAAAAUAAGAUGUGGCAGAGUCAUGGCCCAGCUCUCUCCUGUCAGCUCUGUGUUGAUAGCUAAGUGUACAGCAGCUGCCGUUUUCCUGUCAGGAUCCAUCCAAGGGCUGUGGUCCAAGCCUUCAGUUGACAUCUUAAGUGCUGAACUGUAGCCAGUUUCCAUGGAGCUUUGAAGGAUGCAGUUCUUCUUCUGGAAGGCCAGUCUUCAGGGGGACCCAUAUUGGACAAAUUAACCCCUACCUAUCAUUCCACAUCCUUUUCUUUCUGGUAUCACUUUGUUAUUAAUUUUUAAGUUAAUUAUGUUGAAGUUAGAGUAUGUGGUACUAUGAUUAUAAAUCUCUGAAAGUUAAGACUUUCUCUCUGGCCUAGCCUAAGACUUUCUUUCUGGCCUAUGUCAAUCCUAUGCAUUGACAGGAACAGUAUUUUAAAUGUUAUCUAUUACGUCAAACUUGUUAAUUAUAUUGUUGACAACUUCUAUAGCCUUAUUUUUGUUUGACUAACUUAUCAAUCACUUAGAGAGGUAUGUUGAAUCUUCUGAUAUGCUGGUGGAUUUUUUAGCUUCCUCUAUGUAGUUUUACACAUUUUUGGUUUAUUUAUUUGAGGCCUAUUUUGCAAGAUUCAUACAAGUUUAUAAAAUAUUUUUCUGAUGAAUAAACACUUUUGUUGCUAUGUAAAUGAUCCUCUUUCCCUCCUAUAAUUCUCUUUGCUAUAACUUGAUUUUGUUUUGUAUUAUUAUACCCCUAAAACUUUCUUUUAAUUAGUAUAUGACAGGCAUUUGUUCUAUGUUUCUAAUUUUCAACUUUUCUGUGCCCUCUGUCUUUUAAAAAGCAUUCACUUAUUUGUUUUUAUCCAGACAGAAAAAAAAUCAUUGAAUUUUAGUGGGGAGUUUAGUUCUUUACUUUAUGGAUUAUGAGUGUGGAUAUAUUUAUUUUUAUUUUUCUCAGCUUAUUUUCUACCCACUUGUUCUAUAUUUUGUUUAUGUGUUGGUUUACCCUUUCUCUAUGCCACUUCAACUGGGGUUUAAUUUCCCCACUUUAUUUUUUUUAACAUCUACUUGAAAGUUCUACAUUCAAUUGUUAUUUUUUAAGAGAUUCCUAUGGAAAUUUUAACAUGCAUUAUUAGCUUAAGACGUUUAAAGUUAAUAAAUCUUAACUCUUCUCCUAAAAAAUAGAUGAACUUUAAAAGAAUCAGCUCCAGUCACUCCUGUCAAAUAACAUUUGGUUGUUGUCCAGAAUUCAGGUCUAUCUUGAUUUUUUAACCUCCCAAAUUAGAUACUAUUAUCGUUACAUUUAAUCAAUAUUUGUUUAGAUUUAACAACAUAUUCAUUAUUUUAGUUUCGAUUUGUUUCAUUUCAUUCAUACAUACCUUCUAGAAUCAUUUUCUUUCUAACUGAAUAAAUUCCUGAUGUUCUCCCUUUGUAAGGGUCUACUGCUUGUAAAAGCUCUCAGUUUUUGUCUGGAACUGUUUUAUUUCCCCCUUGCUCUUUCUCAAGGUAUGCAUUUACAGAUUGACAGGUAUUUUCUCUCAGCACUUUACACAUCUUACUCCCUGACUCCUGCCUUCCAUUGUUGCUGCUAGAAGUCAGCUGUUACUCUAAUAGUUAUUCCUUUGUAUGUGCUAUUUUUCUGCUUUUUAAAAUAACUGAUUGUGAGAGCCUCUGUCUUUGGUGCACCUUGAGUUCACUAUCAUGUAUCGCGAUGAGUUCCUUUUAUUUUUCUUGGGAUUCAUUGUGACCUUUUAAUCUGAGGACUGGUAUCUUUGAUGUAUUCUGGAGACAUCUUAGGCAUCAUCUCUAAGAACACUCCUACACCCCUUCUUUAUUUUGUCUCUGCUUAGACAUAUAUGCAUCUUAAGUGCUUUAUCAUAUUUUCAUUCUCUUGUGUCUCUCUACUGCAUUCUGGGUAAUUUCUUCAGAUCUCUUUUCCAGAUCACUAAGUAGCUCUUCAGUUGUGUCUAAUCUGCUGUUAAAAUCAUCCAUUGCACAGCAAAUCCAUAUCUGAAACUCAGUGCCUUGGAAAUACACAAGUCCACAUAGUUUUUGUAUAAAGGAUGCUCCUUGCAGCUUUAUUUGAAACAGGAAAAAGAAAACUAAAUAUCUCUCGGUAGGGAAAUGGUUCAAUAAAUUACACACAUCUGUUGAAUUAAAUUAACACUAAAAGCUUUUGCACAGCAAAGGAAACCAUCAACAAAACAAAAAGACAACCUACUGAAUGGGAGAAAAUAUUUGCAAAUGAUACCAAAUAACUCCAUUUUAAAACGGGUAGAAGAACUGAAUAGACAGUUUUCCAAAGAGGAAAUGCAGAUGGCCAACAAGCACAUGAAAAGAUGCUCAAUAUCACUAACUGUUACCGAAAUGCAAAUCAAAACCACAAUGAGAUACCACCUCAUACCUGUCAGAAUGGCCAUCAUCAAAAAGAGGACAAGUAACAAGUGUUGGUGGGGAUGUGGAGAAAAGGGAGCCCUCCUGCACUGUUGGUGGGAAUGUAAAUUGGUGCAGCCACUAUGGAGAACAGUAUGGAGGUUUCUCACAAAACUAAAAAUAGAUCUACUAGUAAAAAAAAUAAAUAAAAAUAAAAAUAAAAAUAGAUCUACUAGUAGUGGAGAGCAAUUCCACUCCUGGGUAUUUAUCUGAAAAAAACCCAAAACCACUAAUUUGAACUGAGACAUGCACCCUAAUGUUCAUAGCAGCAUUAUUUACAAUUGCUAAGAUAUGGAAGCAACUUAAGUGUCUAUCAACAGAUGAAUGGAUAAAGAAGAUGUGGUGCAUGUAUGUGUGCGUGUGUGUGUAUAUAUAUAUAUACACACACCAAUAUUCCAAUAUAUAUGGAAUUCAUAUUCCAUAUAUAUACCAAUGGAAUACUCCUCAGCCAUAAAAAAGAAUGAAAUUUUGCCAUUUGCAGCAGCAUGGAUGGACUUGGAAGGCAUCAUGCUAAGUGAAAUAAGUCAUACAGAGAAAGACAAAUACUGUAUGAUAUCACUUAUAUGUGGAAUCUAAAAAAUACAACAAACUAGUGAAUAUAUCAAAAAAGAAGUAGAACCACAGAUAUAUAGAACA